GGCGUUGCAUUGACAGCUCUCAUACGCGUAUGAGGCUGGUGGCUGGUGGCUUUUGCCACCGGCCU
rnacentral:sRNA from 1 species